rnacentral:rRNA from 1 species
AGAUUGAACGCUGGCGGCAUGCCUUACACAUGCAAGUCGAACGGUAACAGGUUAAGCUGACGAGUGGCGAACGGGUGAGUAAUAUAUCGGAACGUGCCCAGUCGUGGGGGAUAACUGCUCGAAAGAGCAGCUAAUACCGCAUACGACCUGAGGGUGAAAGCGGGGGAUCGCAAGACCUCGCGCGAUUGGAGCGGCCGAUAUCAGAUUAGGUAGUUGGUGGGGUAAAGGCCCACCAAGCCAACGAUCUGUAGCUGGUCUGAGAGGACGACCAGCCACACUGGGACUGAGACACGGCCCAGACUCCUACGGGAGGCAGCAGUGGGGAAUUUUGGACAAUGGGCGCAAGCCUGAUCCAGCCAUGCCGCGUGCGGGAAGAAGGCCUUCGGGUUGUAAACCGCUUUUGUCAGGAAGAAAGGUUCUAGGUUAAUACCGUGGACUCAUGACGGUACCUGAAGAAUAAGCACCGGCUAACUACGUACCAGCAGCCGCGUAA